GAUGAACGCUGGCGGCGUGCCUAACACAUGCAAGUCGAGCGAUGAAAUUUUCUUCGGGAAAUGGAUUAGCGGCGGACGGGUGAGUAACACGUGGGUAACCUGCCUCAUAGUGGGGGAUAGCCUUCCGAAAGGGAGAUUAAUACCGCAUAAACAUCAUUAGAUGGCAUCAUUUUAGUGAUCAAAAGGAUUUUAUUCGCUAUGAGAUGGGACCCCGCGUCGCAUUAGCUAGUUGGUAGGGUAAUGGCUUACCAAGGCGACGAUGCGUAGCCGACCUGAGAGGGUGAUCGGCCACAUUGGGACUGAGACACGGCCCAGACACCUACGGGUGGCUG
rnacentral:rRNA from 1 species